UACAGAGGUCCCAAGCGUUGUUCGGAUUCACUGGGCGUAAAGGGUGCGUAGGUGGUGAGGUAAGUCGGAUGUGAAAGCUCGGAGCUCAACUCCGAAAUGGCAUUGGAAACUACCUUGCUCGGGGGUUGGAGGGGGGACUGGAAUACUUGGUGUAGCAGUGAAAUGCGUAGAUAUCAAGUGGAACACCAGUGGCGAAGGCGAGUCCCUGGACAACUCCUGACACUGAGGCACGAAAGCUAGGGGAGCAAACAGG
rnacentral:rRNA from 1 species